rnacentral:lncRNA from 1 species
CGCUGGGUCUCUAACUCGGCCUCCGCAAAGCCGCCGGGCUGGCGUCCGCGGCGGUGGCGGCCGAGGGCCGACUAGAGCCGGGCCCUGGAGGCCGGGGAGGCUGCGCGGCUGGCGGCGCCCCGAGAAGUCGCGAACCGCUCGGUUUCAACGGGAACUUUGCAGGCUCUUGGAGCCCGGCCAGGGGCGACUCGGCGCUGCGCUGAGGCCAGCAGCGGCAGACUACCCUCCCUUUGUGAGUGAGGGGGUCCCACGCUCCAGGAAACGAAAUGACUGCGGACCAAGUAAUAA